CAGAAAGAGGCUUUAGUUCACUCCAAGGUGUUUUCCCAUGAAAGGGUUAUAACCUAUUUUGGAUUGAAACCUAUUACUAAUUAGUAAAAUUAAUUUAUUAGUUCAGAAUCUGCAUUAUUGGUUCAGAAUCUGCAUUUUUUAAAAUGUAAAGGGAGAGAAAUGUGAAUGCAUCCUAGGUAGAAAGGUGAAGGAAGCAACCUCCAGCCAACAAUCUCCUGAGAGGGCUGUCAGAAAGUCACCAGCCAAGACAGAGCUGACACCUGGUGUGCAGCGUGUGCUCCACGGAUGCUGCCUUUACAUUUGUACUGGGUACAUUUCUUAUAUUUUGAGGAUUGAGAGGCAGCUUCAGGACCCUGGAAUGUCCAAACUGUGUUAUCAGAAGGCAUUUCUGAGUCACCAUCCAGUGGGAAAAAGAUCUCAAAAAGGGACCAAGAAUAACAAAGGAAAGCUAUCUUGCUGGGCUCCUUGGAUUAUUUCAAGUUAAAGUUGAGAAAGGAGUAAAUUGACCGUUUCAAAAUGGAGCAGGGGCAGGGCCCAAGGACAAAACACCACCAUCAUGGUCCCAUGGGAAGUUUUCAUCUGUGGAUUCCAAUCACACAGUAAUCAGUUCAACCUUUAUGAAUUUAUUUUCCUAUGUCAUCCCCUUCUAUUAUCUCUCCAUUUCAGACUAUGCCUAUGGAAUAAAAAAGAACAAUGCUAGAACUAAAAAAAUCUAAAUAAAGUAUGGACUUCAAUUAGCAAUAAU
rnacentral:lncRNA from 10 species